rnacentral:SRP_RNA from 1 species
GGCCAGGUCCCACGCAAUUCGGCUUUUCCAACCCCGUCAGGACCGGAAGGUAGCAGCGGUAAGAAAAACCCCGGAUGUGCCGUGGAUCAACCUGGCCUUU